CAGCCGCCGCGGUAAUACAGAGGGUGCGAGCGUUAAUCGGAUUUACUGGGCGUAAAGCGUGCGUAGGCGGCUUCUUAAGUCGGAUGUGAAAUCCCUGAGCUUAACUUAGGAAUUGCAUUCGAUACUGGGGAGCUAGAGUAUGGGAGAGGAUGGUAGAAUUCCAGGUGUAGCGGUGAAAUGCGUAGAGAUCUGGAGGAAUACCGAUGGCGAAGGCAGCCAUCUGGCCUAAUACUGACGCUGAGGUACGAAAGCAUGGGGAGCAAACAGGAUUAGAUACCCCCGUAGUCCCUGUCUCUUAUCC
rnacentral:rRNA from 1 species